GGUUACGCUGAGGUGGAUCUGGUUGUAAAUAUGAUACAGGGGCCUGGAAGUAAUAGGAGAUGACAAGGAAACUUGAAUAAAACCUUUUCCUUCCAAACA